rnacentral:rRNA from 1 species
GACGAACGCUGGCGGCGUGCUUAACACAUGCAAGUCGAACGGAAAGGCCCUGCUUUUGUGGGGUGCUCGAGUGGCGAACGGGUGAGUAACACGUGAGUAACCUGCCCUUGACUUUGGGAUAACUUCAGGAAACUGGGGCUACUACCGGAUAGGAGCUCCUGCUGCAUGGUGGGGGUUGGAACGUUUCGGCGGUUGGGGAUGGAGGCGCGGCUUAUCAGCUUGUUGGUGGGGUAGUGGCUUACCAAGGCAUUGCCGGGUAGCCGGCCUGAGAGGGUGACCGGGCACAUUGGGACUGAGAUACGGCCCAGACUGCUACGGGAGGCAGCAGUGGCGAAUAUUACACAAUGGGCGGAAGCCUGAUGCAGCAACGCCGCGUGCGGGAAGACGGCCUGCGGGUAGUAAACCGCUUUCGCUUGUGACGAAGCUGGAGUGACGGUAAUGGGUAAAGAAGCACCGGCUAACUACGUG